AACCAAUUUUUGCUUACUUUAUGGGACGACUUCGGGGAAAUUGAAGGAGCUGAAUUGGAAGCUCAAAUAGAAAAGGGUAAAAGAGUUCCCUGUAAUCCUUAGAAGGAACAUUGGAAUCUCUAGUUAUCAAGGUAUGCGUGUGUUUUACUGAAAUCUCGUCUUUUAAUACCAUACACUAUUACACAAUCAUUUCAUAUGUACAAGUUUAUCCUUGCAAACCAGAUUCAAUUUGACGAUACGCUUAAAUCCUACUUAUCCGCAGGCAUUACAGUUGAUCAGUUGGUACUAACUUCUUACUAUACAUCUCUAGCUUUAGUGUGCCAUAAAAAGCAUAUUUCGCAAUGUUUCUGUUGUCAUAAUAGGGCAAAGACAAACAAAGACGUGCUUUUGGGCAAUGUGUUGGGUAACUUCGCAGGAUCAUCCACUGCUCUUACCGUCAAUCCUGUUCACCGACAAGUCGUUUCUAUUGUAGAAGUUACAACAGCAACUUCAGUAGGUUUCAGAAAUAUUUAGACUAGCUCAAAUUAUUGAUGGAAUAGAGUUAGAUAUACAUUUUUUGUUGGGCAUUGCAGGUUGGAGUUUUCUACAUUGAGGCCGAAAUGUCAAUAUCAGAUGAUCUUCAAAAGUUUUUGUCCUAGAAUGUUCAGGCAGCAAACAGAAAAAAUGCACAAAAAACAAGAAGCAGUUUGAUUGCGCAAAAUGUCAAAGACAGACAACAUUGGUGCCUCGAUAUUACGUUUAUGCUAUAUACAUAAAAAUUUAUUGUGGUAAAAUAUCGCAUAUACAAAAAACAAUUCAAGUAUUAACUCAUUAUGCUUGUAGGUGUACCUUCCAAAUUGAUCUGCGGUGGUUCAACAACUGCCUUCAUUUCUGGUGAUCCUGGCGAAAAACUUCUCUCCAUGAAGGCAGAGGACAUAUUUGACACAACCUGCGUCAAGAUCCAACAAAUGUUGUCGAAGAAACUAUUUCAUAUUCAACUAAGGAAGUCAUCCUGGACAAACUCUAAUGUUACUCAGUCAAGUCUCACAGUUCUGUCCUACACGGAAAAAGAACAUGCAUCUCUACCAGGCACUGGCGAGAGGAACAUUAGAAAGGCCAAAUCGUUCGAUGCUAGCGAGGUAGAGAUGAAAGCGACAUUUUUUGAAUCUGAAUCUUCCAGCAGCGAUACCUCAAUUGAACCCACGCCAAUCAAGAAGUUAUGAAAGGAAGUAUGUUCCUCAUUUUGGUUACUCAAAAAGCAUAACUUUUGGGAUUCUCAAUCUGCACAACCUCAAUUGUUAUGAAGGUCCAGUUAUAAGAAGUUGGGGAGAAGGAAGUAACAAAGAUGGUACUCAACUUUUUCAAAUUUUUGGGCUGCCUCUGUGAUUCAGAUUUUGCGUCAAGUGGAUAUUCCACACUCAGUUAGGUACUUUGACAUCUUGUUGUGCCAUAAAUGCUGCCACUGAAGAAGCUUACCCGGACUACAAUUGUACCAUGCAUGUUGUUGUUCUAGACUAAGAUACCAUCAUCUUGUAACUAAAAAAUCCCAACACUCUUUAAACUUUUUGGGUUGUAUCAUCACUACUACUGCAACAACGUUUGGAUCAGUGUAUCUGCACAACACGCUUGUGUCUAUUGUAAACCUUGUAUAUAAUAGUGUGAUAUCAAGCUUGUAUUCCA